CCCUGUUCGCUCACAGCCCUGUUCUCUGCCAUUCCGUUCCGUUCUCACAGCCGUUCCGUUGGAGUCCCUGAUGUUUUGAUCUUCAACAACAAUCGCCUCUUCCAGUUCUUCGUCAAGACCGAUUCAUCUGCAACUGCUGGGUUUACCCAGCUACCGAUUAAUACAAGACGAGCUCAAAUCUUUGCAAUGGCGGCUUGCACUGUGAAUGUGCUCAGGUGACUGGCUCCAGCGACUCUGCUUCAUCGACAUGUUGCGUGGUGCUCAGCUUUGGAAGAAGGCUAUGCUCAUCUAUUUGAAGAGAAGUGUAUAUGAGAAGUAUAUAGAAUAUUACUACCUCUUUAUAUAAGUUUCAGGUAUGACUCUUCAAUUUGUAUUGUGUAGUUAUUGAACAUAUUUCCUUUAGUCUUUUUGACAGUUAAUUUCUUACCAAAGUCGUUGUUUCCUUGCUGCUUCAUGACCAUUUUUUUUCCAAUUUAACAAUUGUUGUUUUCAAUACCAUUAUAUAAUUGGGUAUUCAUGUAAGUUAGGAUCUAGGAUAUGUUGCAUAUUUGGCUUUGGAUGAUUAGUGUCCUGUCUUAAACUGAGACUUCUAUCAUUGUUGUUUCUGUUCACUUUUUUUUUUGUCUUUACUUAGUCAAGAAAGACUGUAAGACUUGUUCAAUAUUUUGAAGUCACAUAAAGUUCACAAAUUACGUAUGUAGCUUUCUUGUUAUUGCUGAUUAUUGAAUUUUGUUUAUUUGUCUACUUGUUGUAUUCCUUUUACUUUUAAUAUUUUAAAAUUUUAAUAUUGAAUUCUCAUUACGUCUCAUAAUUGACUGGACUUUUGACAUCCGUUUUCUUAAAUUUUUUGAACAAAUUGGUAAGUAGUAGGUUAUAGAGCUGCUGUGAUUAUGUCCGGAAAUAUAUUGUUGGGGUUAGAGCAAAUGAUACCAAGCUUUGUUUUGUGAUUACUCUGUUUAGUCAAAAUGAGCUUAAACUUUGAAUUUAUAUAGGUUUAUUAUAAAUUUAAUAUUGAGUAUUGAAUUUCAAGUGCCCCUAGUGACCUUUGUGCCUUGACUAAAAUGCAUGAGCUUCCGUAUAUUUA